GCCGGGGUAGCGCAGCCUGGUAACGCGCGGGCCUUGAGAGCCCGUGACCCUCUGGGUCUCAGGGGUUCGAAUCCCCUUCCCGGCG
rnacentral:tRNA from 1 species